rnacentral:sRNA from 1 species
UGAACAACCGGAAGCUCGACCUUCCAUUGAAGUAAUGUUGGAAACAAAAAAAGCCCCGCUGAUCAGCGGGGCUUU